AAGGGUGUUGCACCAAUGUUACAUGAGGAAGUUCCGGAUAUUGUAGUGACCGGCGGAAAUUUAAGUGUAGAUACACGUAAAGCUUCAACUGAAGAGAUUAAUCGGGCGGAUGAAGGAUCUUUCAACUCAACAGAGGGAAUGGUCGCAGAGAUGCUCGUUGAGUUGCCUCUAGAAACUCUUGAACCAGAAGCAGGUGCGGGAAUACAAGCCGGGGACAUCACUGAUUAUUCAAGUUUAGAGACCCCACCCAGGUUCGAUGACAACAUUACUAAGUCACAAUGGUUGAUCCCUGACGAAAUGUUACCAAGCCAAAUAGGUUCUACAGGAUUCUCUGUGUUUCAUCAAACGGGUCACAAAGGAUUUGUUAUGCCAGUAAUAUCUGCUGACAAAGGAAUACAAGAGACACUUCUGUUCAAGACCCCACACCUUUUAUUUUUAAAAAGAAGCAUCCAUUUGUUGAAGAUCCAAUCAAUGGCCCGCAAAAUACUUCGCUUAUUCAACAAUAUCGGAAUUGGCUCAAACAAGAUCUGCUUCUAAGGCAUGAUAAAAAGUAAGUUUGAACAAAGCCGUUACAAAAAGAAUAAGCAAGCUUUGGAUCCAGAUGACAUCAACUUUGGCUUCAAGUUUGGUGUAUUACAUGUUGAUGACAAAAACUGGUUCUAUCUCUUAUCGAUGAAUGGCCAGUCUUGGAAUGAUGAGCAUAUUGAUGUCAUUUUUUACUACUUGCGGAAGAAAGGCAAGUACGACAAAGAUAACAGUUUCAAAUUCACAACCGUUAACUGUAUGUUCUUCUCCAAAAUUGACGAAAUUCAUCGUGC